rnacentral:rRNA from 1 species
GACGAACGCUGGCGGCGUGCUUAACACAUGCAGGUCGAACGGAAAGGCCCUGCUUGCAGGGUACUCGAGUGGCGAACGGGUGAGUAACACGUGGGUGAUCUGCCCUGCACUUCGGGAUAAGCCUGGGAAACUGGGUCUAAUACCGGAUAGGAGCCAUUUUUAGUGUGAUGGUUGGAAAGUUUUUUCGGUGUAGGAUGAGCUCGCGGCCUAUCAGCUUGUUGGUGGGGUAAUGGCCUACCAAGGCGGCGACGGGUAGCCGGCCUGAGAGGGUGGACGGCCACAUUGGGACUGAGAUACGGCCCAGACUCCUACGGGAGGCAGCAGUGGGGAAUAUUGCACAAUGGGAGCAAGCCUGAUGCAGCGACGCCGCGUGGGGGAUGACGGCCUUCGGGUUGUAAACUCCUUUCGCUAGGGACGAAGCUUUUUGUGACGGUACCUAGAUAAGAAGCACCGGCUAACUACGUG